rnacentral:tRNA from 1 species
GGAGGGGCCAUAGCUCAGUGACAGAGCACCUGCUUUUCAUGCAGAAGGUGGCAGGUUCAAACCCCGACACCUCCA